rnacentral:rRNA from 1 species
CCCCACUAUUCUAGCCUUAAAACUCAAACGCUUCUAGGGCACUACGAAAAACCUUUAAAACCCAAAGAACUUGGCGGCCCUUUAUACCCAAUCAGGGGAGCCUGUCCUAGAAUUGAUACCCCACACCUCCCACAACUUGCCCUCGCCCUCCCAGCCUGUAUACCGCCUGUCGCCAGCCACCUAAAAAAAGCAAGUAUGCCCAAUAGUAACCACUAGAACGUCAGGUCAAGGUGCAGCCUAUGAGCAAGAAGAGAAUGGGCUACAGUCUCUAACAAACUCAGAAGUCUAAAUGAAAAAAAGACUAAAGAAGGACUUGAAAGUAAUGGGAGCAAGGAGCCCCCAUGAAUAGAGCAAUAAAGUGUGC